rnacentral:lncRNA from 1 species
GUUUUCAUCCAUUUCAUUAAACUGUAGAUCAAAAAAGCGUUGGUAAAAUUCCAACUCACAAAAAUCAGACAUACAAUGAAAGUUGCCUUUGUGUCAAUGUACAAUACAAGCAAGCUUCUAUUUUUUUCUAAUAAAAAUGAAUCAAAUCAAGUGAUUUUGUACAAAAAACCAAACCCAACUAUUCCGAUUCAAGAAACAAAAACGAAGGAUUCCUGAGUUCAAAAAACAUUCUGUGCAACAUAAGCCACAGCCUCGCUGCAGUUGUUGAAGAAAUCUGCAAGAAUCUUGCCAACCAUCUGUGUGAAGGCAUCCAACACCUCCGGAAUAUCUUUCAACGCAUCUUCCAAAGACGUUUUCGACUUCUCCAACAAUCCGGCCACGGCUGCAGCCAGUCCAGACGACGAGGUGAAGACUCCCUCCUUGACAAACUUGAACAAGGAGGAGAAGACAGAGACGACUGCAUCGACUAUGAUGUUCAUCAAGAACUCCAUGCACGUUGUGAUCAAGUCCUUGACUCGAUCCAGAAGGUGUUGGCUGCUCUCACCGGGGACCUUCGCCACUUGGAUGACCUGCACCACCACGUGGGCUGCUCCGUUGAAGAUGAGGCGUGUCAGCAGGCUUGAGAGUGCGGCCACGAGGGAGAAGACGAACUUCAGGAGGAAGACAGCCAUUGAUGGGAGGAGGAGAGGGAGUUUCUUGAGAUAAAUGAUUGAAGUUCUAACUAAUAUUGUGUGUUUGUAAUUGUCAGCGUUGAAAUUUUGAGUUUAGAUGAUAAUGUAUGUUGGAGUAUUUUAGAGGGGUAGUUGUUGUCCUCACAUUUUAACAAUUCAAAGUCAUCGAGGAAAAUGAUUUCAUAAGGGGAGAAUCAUGGUUCAUUACAACAUUAAAAAUUUGAGGUUGAUGAAUGACUAGCAGAAAACGAUGUUAAUUUAUAGUAAUUAAUAGCAUAUAGCAGAUUCUAGAAGUCAUAAAGCAAAGAGAAGUAAGCUUUGAGCUCUAUUCUUUUAGCGUGUAGAUUAAUGACAUCAUCAAUAUACACGUCAGUGCACCGAACAACAGGGCAAGAACGAAGAAGACAAUAUUUGUAAAUCAAGAAGGUUUAUAAAUAUAUAUAUAUANUGGCUUAAACCUUCAUGGUUUUGGAUUAAAUUGGAUUAAAUUUUUUUAAUAUAUCUUGGCUGAUCUUUCAGAGUUUGAUAGCUUUAUCACAAGUAUAAUUUAAAUCUGACGUUUACUUUUUAGAAUUAGUUUAGAUUAAAUGAAAAUUAUAUGACUAAUUUAUUAUUUAUGAAGUUGGUUUGGAACUUUAAAAUAUUUAUGAUCUUUGAUAAUUUUUAUUAUUUGAGCUAAUUUUAUUUGAUUCAUAUCAAUAAAUGAGCAGGACAGGAGAAAUUGUAAUAAUAAGAAUAAUAAUGAUAUACUCAAUCAUUUACAAUCAUGAAAAAUAAACUAAAAUGACAUACUUUCUUGUUUGAUCGGAGGAAAAGUGAAUUCCUUGUUUUAUUUGUUUAUUUUAUUUUGACUUGCCUUGGUUUAUUGUUCAAGUCAAAGAAGAAACUUGUUUAGCACUUCUACAAGGUUUCUCAAAGCAUUCAACAAAUAAUUUUUAAUAUACUUGAUAACUUGUUGGUUAAGCCUCUUUACAUGAAAAAGAAAAUGAAACAAAUAUCUCAAUCAUGGAAAUAACAAAAUAUAUAUUCUUGCAACAACCAAGCUGUUUGACUCGCCACGCGUUUUCAUCCAUUUCAUUAAACUGUAGAUCAAAAAAGCGUUGGUAAAAUUCCAACUCACAAAAAUCAGACAUACAAUGAAAGUUGCCUUUGUGUCAAUGUACAAUACAAGCAAGCUUCUAUUUUUUUCUAAUAAAAAUGAAUCAAAUCAAGUGAUUUUGUACAAAAAACCAAACCCAACUAUUCCGAUUCAAGAAACAAAAACGAAGGAUUCCUGAGUUCAAAAAACAUUCUGUGCAACAUAAGCCACAGCCUCGCUGCAGUUGUUGAAGAAAUCUGCAAGAAUCUUGCCAACCAUCUGUGUGAAGGCAUCCAACACCUCCGGAAUAUCUUUCAACGCAUCUUCCAAAGACGUUUUCGACUUCUCCAACAAUCCGGCCACGGCUGCAGCCAGUCCAGACGACGAGGUGAAGACUCCCUCCUUGACAAACUUGAACAAGGAGGAGAAGACAGAGACGACUGCAUCGACUAUGAUGUUCAUCAAGAACUCCAUGCACGUUGUGAUCAAGUCCUUGACUCGAUCCAGAAGGUGUUGGCUGCUCUCACCGGGGACCUUCGCCACUUGGAUGACCUGCACCACCACGUGGGCUGCUCCGUUGAAGAUGAGGCGUGUCAGCAGGCUUGAGAGUGCGGCCACGAGGGAGAAGACGAACUUCAGGAGGAAGACAGCCAUUGAUGGGAGGAGGAGAGGGAGUUUCUUGAGAUAAAUGAUUGAAGUUCUAACUAAUAUUGUGUGUUUGUAAUUGUCAGCGUUGAAAUUUUGAGUUUAGAUGAUAAUGUAUGUUGGAGUAUUUUAGAGGGGUAGUUGUUGUCCUCACAUUUUAACAAUUCAAAGUCAUCGAGGAAAAUGAUUUCAUAAGGGGAGAAUCAUGGUUCAUUACAACAUUAAAAAUUU